ensembl:lincRNA
AGACAGGAGCACAGUUGGGAGCUGGGUGGAGCUCUGACUCCAGGAACAUUUCUCAGGCUAGAGGUUGUUCCCUUAGCUACCUGCCUCGGGCCAACAACCUGAAAAUGAAUCCUUGUUACAGCUGUGCAUCUGGCCUAUGUGGAUGGAGGCACUGCUGGCAAAUGUGAGAUUUCUGAGGACACAGAUUGGGAAUUCCAGGAUCUGGUCAGAUUGGAAGUGCAAUGGGCUUCAUUUGAUGGGAGCUAGCAGUCCUAGAACUACCCCCUUUGAAUUGUAUCUUGGAAAAACUGGGGUAAGUUUCAUCCCCAGAGCCCAAAAUGUCCCUUAUAUACAGGCUUUCUUUAAGAGAAGACCUCACUUGCCCAGAGAGACAAUCCCUGCUGGGACAACAUCUUAUCAAUCAGUCUACCCCUGUCAUCAGAGCCAAUUUGAACACUCUGGUUUAAAUUUUAGCUAUGAAACUGUGACUACAAAAGGAAGAGAUGACAUUUUUGACACUGAAUGGCCAUGAUAUUUUUUAGACUCUGGAUAAAAUAGGUUAAAAUGAAAUCUUUUUGAAAUUGCAAAACCAGUUCUUCUAGCACAUGCAAUUAGGAAAAAGCUGACUUGUUAAAAUACUUUUUCUUGGAGCUCCAAUCCUGCCUGAGAAACAGAAAACAUGCCUGGGGAAAAUCCUGAAGUUAACUCUUAUCAUGCCCUUGAGAUACACAGCCCACUCUGUCUGGGACUCCAACCAUGAGCAAGUUGGCAGAACUUCAAGCCAAGAAAAAAAAGGGGGGGGGUGCAAAGAGACAUUUUAUAUUUCAAGUGGAAAACUGUGAGGUCUCUGUGUAUGUCUUCGUGCUUGGACAAUAUUGCUGAAGCUUAAUUGGCCUAAAGAGAAGUAAGCACUUAGAAAUCAAACAAUUCUAAAUUCAAAAAAAUUAAACUAAAAUGAAUUUCAGGCUUGUGUGAACUGGGAAAUAUUCACUAUUGAAUUAAUAUCUGGUAUUGAUAUUUGUUUAUUGACCUAAUUAACAUAGACAUUGUGGAGACACUUUUGCAAAUGACAUAGCUUUGGGUGAUUUAUAUUUACUGAUCUACAAAAUGAUGAUAUAAAGUACAGUUCAUGGUUGCUGAAGGAAAGUAAGAUGUGUGUUUUCAAUAAAAAGCUAUAAGAAAUGAAAUUACAUUCUAUUAAGAAAAAGAAAGUAAAUCUGAACUUAGAGGUAGCUGUUCUCUGAAUGGGCAAAUAAAGUGAUGAAUAUAGAAAAUACAAAAAAGGUUUGUGACAAAUGAGAAAAGAUUUGUGGCAAGUAGAAGAGAGUUUUGUGCAAGAUACAAGUUUCUUAAGACAUUAAACUGCUUUUGAGGCCUUUUAUUGUUACUUUGACUAAGUGAACAACUAUUGUUUCACAGUGAACAUAAGCUGGUACCAAACUGGAAUUUGGUUUUCUCUCCGAUUGAAAGAACAAAGUUUUCUUGAAAUAUGGCUUUUAAUAAUGGACUAUGGCACACAUAGACAAAGGUCAUUCUGCUUCUACAAAAUUAACCCCUCAUCAGGGAAUUUAAAAUGGAUAAAGAAUGGCUGUAAACCAAACAGUCAGGGCUAUGGGAGGUCCAACACAGCGCUUGGCUUUUCCUGGCUCCCUGACAAACCUCACUUUUAUUUGCUAAGCUAAAGCCUUUCCUGACUG